rnacentral:rRNA from 1 species
GACCGGCUCAGGAUGAACGCUAGCGACAGGCUUAACACAUGCAAGUCGAGGGGCAGCACAGGGUAGCAAUACUUGGGUGGCGACCGGCGCACGGGUGAGUAACGCGUAUGCAACUUACCUAUCAGAGGGGGAUAGCCCGGCGAAAGUCGGAUUAAUACCCCAUGAAACAGGGGUCCCGCAUGGGAAUAUUUGUUAAAGAUUCAUCGCUGAUAGAUAGGCAUGCGUUCCAUUAGGCAGUUGGG